rnacentral:rRNA from 1 species
AUUGAACGCUGGCGGCAUGCUUUACACAUGCAAGUCGAAUGGUAACAGGUUAAGCUGACGAGUGGCGAACGGGUGAGUAAUGCAUCGGAACGUGCCCAGUCGUGGGGGAUAACGCAGCGAAAGCUGCGCUAAUACCGCAUACGAUCUGAGGAUGAAAGCGGGGGACCGUAAGGACUCGCGCGAUGGGAGCGGCCGAUGUCAGAUUAGGUAGUUGGUGGGGUAAAGGCCUACCAAGCCGACGAUCUGUAGCUGGUCUGAGAGGACGACCAGCCACACUGGGACUGAGACACGGCCCAGACUCCUACGGGAGGCAGCAGUGGGGAAUUUUGGACAAUGGGCGCAAGCCUGAUCCAGCAAUGCCGCGUGCAGGAAGAAGGCCUUCGGGUUGUAAACUGCUUUUGUACGGAGCGAAAAGGCUCUCUCUAAUACAGGGGGCUCAUGACGGUACCGUAAGAAUAAGCACCGGCUAACUACGUGCCAGCAGCCGCGGUAA